GCGGGUGUAGCUCAACGGUCAGAGCUUCAGUUUUCCAAACUGAUGACGAGGGUUCGACUCCCUUCACCCGCU
rfam:Candidatus Pacebacteria bacterium RIFOXYD1_FTLL_39_27 rifoxyd1_full_scaffold_118, whole genome shotgun sequence.